ACUCGCCUGCAUGAAGUCGGAGUUGCUAGUAAUCGCAGAUCAGAAUGCUGCGGUGAAUGCGUUCCCGGGUCUUGUACACACCGCCCGUCACACCAUGGAAGUUGGGGGCGCCCGAAGUCGGCUAGGAAAUAGGCUGCCUAAGGUGAAACCAAUGACUGGGGUGAAGUCGUAACAAGGUAAC
rnacentral:rRNA from 1 species